UGGAAGUAAAAGUCGUAACAAGGUGUUUUUUGGUGAACCAGCGGAGGGAUCAUUACCGAGUUAUCCAACUCCCAACCCCUGUGAAUUAUACCUUUAAUUGUUGCUUCGGCGGGACUUCGCGCCCGCCGGGGACCCAAACCUUCUGAAUUUUUUAAUAAGUAUCUUCUGAGUGGUUAAAAAAAAAAUGAAUCAAAACUUUCAACAACGGAUCUCUUGGUUCUGGCAUCGAUGAAGAACGCAGCGAAAUGCGAUAAGUAAUGUGAAUUGCAGAAUUCAGUGAAUCAUCGAAUCUUUGAACGCACAUUGCGCCCGUCAGUAUUCUGGCGGGCAUGCCUGUUCGAGCGUCAUUACGCCCCUCAAGUCCCCUGUGGACUUGGUGUUGGGGAUCGGCGAGGCUGGUUUUCCAGCACAGCCGUCCCUUAAAUUAAUUGGCGGUCUCGCCGUGGCCCUCCUCUGCGCAGUAGUAAAGCACUCGCAACAGGAGCCCGGCGCGGUCCACUGCCGUAAAACCCCCCAACUUUUUAUAGUUGACCUCGAAUCAGGUAGGACUCCCCGCUGAACUUAAGCAUAUCAAUAAGCGGAGGAA
rnacentral:rRNA from 1 species